AUUGAACGCUGGCGGCAGGCCUAACACAUGCAAGUCGAGCGGAUGAAGGGAGCUUGCUCCUGGAUUCAGCGGCGGACGGGUGAGUAAUGCCUAGGAAUCUGCCUGGUAGUGGGGGAUAACGUCCGGAAACGGGCGCUAAUACCGCAUACGUCCUGAGGGAGAAAGUGGGGGAUCUUCGGACCUCACGCUAUCAGAUGAGCCUAGGUCGGAUUAGCUGGCUGGUGGGGUAAAGGCCUACCAAGGCGACGAUCCGUAACUGGUCUGAGAGGAUGAUCAGUCACACUGGAACUGAGACACGGUCCAGACUCCUACGGGAGGCAGCAGUGGGGAAUAUUGGACAAUGGGCGAAAGCCUGAUCCAGCCAUGCCGCGUGUGUGAAGAAGGUCUUCGGAUUGUAAAGCACUUUAAGUUGGGAGGAAGGGCAGUAAGUUAAUACCUUGCUGUUUUGACGUUACCAACAGAAUAAGCACCGGCUAACUUCGUG
rnacentral:rRNA from 1 species